rnacentral:sRNA from 1 species
AGUUACUUGGGCGGGGCCGGUAGCGGCGGGAGCUGCACUGGCCAGGGGUUCCGGCUGUAUAUCCAUGAGCGCCGCUGGCAGCCGGGGAGCCGCAGAAACCAGACUGGGGGCGAGCUGAGCACCUGUAGUCAAUCACACGCAGGUUCUAUCCUCUUCAUUUGCAAGCCACUGCUUUAUCCACGAGGGUGCUCCCUACUUAUGCCAGUGAAUUAAUUUUUGGCACAGAUCAGUCCUUCAUAUUUAUCUGGAUUUAGCUGGUAGCAUUUGUCUCCUAAGACUUGGUCACAAAGGAAUCCAUGUGACCUUCAGGCCUUCUGCUCUAAACUGGCAGGAGAUCCUGUUUCUACUCACAGCGUCCAAGGGUCUGGUGGCCGAGCCCUGAGGGGCGCUGUUGCUCCCAGGUGGCAGAAUUCAGCAUCAGAGAGCCACACAGCUGAAAGAGAUGGAUGGCUUUUAGGUUAGUUUGAAUAAGAGAUCUGACCUGACCGGCCCAACUGUACAACUCUUCAAGGAAAAUUCGUAUUUGCAGUGGGAAGAAUAAG